UAUACUGGGAUACACCAGGAUCAGUGCCCCC
rnacentral:piRNA from 1 species